CUUAGUGGCGGACGGGUGAGUAACGCGUGGGUAACCUGCCCCAUACCGGGGGAUACCACCUGGAGACAGGUGCUAAUACCGCAUAAGCGCACGGGAGCGCAUGCUCCUGUGUGAAAAACUCCGGUGGUAUGGGAUGGACCCGCGUCUGAUUAGCCAGUUGGCAGGGUAACGGCCUACCAAAGCGACGAUCAGUAGCCGGCCUGAGAGGGUGGACGGCCACAUUGGGACUGAGACACGGCCCAAACUCCUACGGGAGGCAGCAG
rnacentral:rRNA from 1 species